rnacentral:rRNA from 1 species
UACAGAGGGUCUCAAGCGUUGUUCGGAUUCAUUGGGCGUAAAGGGUGCGUAGGCGGCGCGGUAAGUCGGGUGUGGAAAUCUCGGGCUUAACUCCGAAACUGCAUUCGAUACUGCCGUGCUUGAGGACUGGAGAGGAGACUGGAAUUUACGGUGUAGCGGUGAAAUGCGUAGAUAUCUGGAGGAACACCGGUGGCGAAGGCGAACAUCCUGGACCGGUAUUGACGACUG